UCGUGUUUAUGGUUGUAUUUUUCUAAUAUUUACUGUAAUUUGCAGAUUAGGUAAAUAAAUGAAACCAAACAGAGGAAACAACCAGAUAGUCGAAACGGGCAAAGAUGGUCCUAUUCUAAUGACUCCAUCAAGAAAACCGUAGCAAUUGUUACGAUCACCACCGGAUUGAUUAUACUGGUGUGGUGUCUAUACCUGUUGCAUGACAGAUUUUAUCACAGUCACUGAUUGCCUGGUCAGUAUGUGUGAUGAAGAAUCUGAAGACGGGGAUCUGAUAAUUAAAUUAUGCAUUUUCUCUUCAUACAUUUUUAAAGUACAAUAAAUUAUUAACAAAGUC